rnacentral:rRNA from 1 species
AACGUAGGUUCCGAGCGUUAUCCGGAUUUACUGGGCGUAAAGCGCGUUCAGGCGGUUUGGCAAGUCGGGCGUGAAAUCCUUCGGCUCAACCGGGGGAGGUUGUCCGAUACUGCUAAACUGGAGGGCAGUAGAGGGUGGUGGAAUUCCCGGUGUAGUGGUGGAAUGCGUAGAUAUCGGGAGGAACACCAGUGGCGAAGGCGGCUCUCUGGACCGGUUCUGACGCUCAGGCGCGAAAGCGUGGGGAGCGAUCCGG